rnacentral:rRNA from 1 species
UGGGGAGUAUUGGACAAUGGGGGCAACCCUGAUCCAGCAAUGCCGCGUGGGUGAUGAAGGCCUUCGGGUUGUAAAGCCCUUUCGGCGGGGACGAUGAUGACGGUACCCGCAGAAGAAGCCCCGGCUAACUUCGUGCCAGCAGCCGCGGUAAUACGAAGGGGGCUAGCGUUGUUCGGAAUGACUGGGCGUAAAGGGCGCGUAGGCGGCCGAGUAAGUCAGGCGUGAAAGCCCCGGGCUCAACCUGGGAACGGCGCUUGAUACUGUUUGGCUUGAGGACGGGAGAGGAUGGUGGAAUUCCCAGUGUAGAGGUGAAAUUCGUAGAUAUUGGGAAGAACACCGGUGGCGAAGGCGGCCAUCUGGACCGUUUCUGACGCUGAGGCGCGAAAGCGUGGGGAGCAAACAGGAUUAGAUACCCUGGUAGUCCACGCUGUAAACGAUGUGUGCUAGACGUUGGGGGUUAAGCCUCCGGUGUCGCAGCCAACGCGUUAAGCACACCGCCUGGGGAGUACGGCCGCAAGGUUAA